ACAGUUCCGGCGGGGGCGGACUGGGAACACAUGGGAAUGAGAGAUGAGAUUGCUCGGUCGUGCUGGCCCUGGGCUCGUAGUUGAUCUGCUUGUAUGCAUGUGUUCUCAGGUCGCCCCCGCGGGGCCUUC
rfam:Sorghum bicolor cultivar BTx623 chromosome 2, whole genome shotgun sequence.